rnacentral:rRNA from 1 species
AUUGAACGCUGGCGGCAUGCCUUACACAUGCAAGUCGAACGGUAACAGGUCUUCGGAUGCUGACGGGUGGCGAACGGGUGAGUAAUACAUCGGAACGUGCCUAGUAGUGGGGGAUAACUACUCGAAAGAGUGGCUAAUACCGCAUGAGAUCUACGGAUGAAAGCAGGGGAUCGCAAGACCUUGUGCUACUAGAGCGGCCGAUGGCAGAUUAGGUAGUUGGUGGGAUAAAAGCUUACCAAGCCGACGAUCUGUAGCUGGUCUGAGAGGACGAUCAGCCAAACUGGGACUGAGACACGGCCCAGACUCCUGCGGGAGGCAGCAGUGGGGAAUUUUGUACAAUGGACGCAAGUCUGAUCCAGCCAUGCCGCGUGCGGGAAGAAGGCCUUCGGGUUGUAAACCGCUUUUGUCAGGGAAGAAACGCUCUGGAUUAAUACUCUGGGGUAAUGACGGUACCUGAAGAAUAAGCACCGGCUAACUACGUGCCAGCCGCCGCAGUAAAAC